GGAGAGGUGGCUUAAUGAUUAAAGCGUCCGACUUUAAACCACAAAAUCGCGGGUUUGAACCUCGCUCAGUCUU
rfam:Schistosoma haematobium scaffold1348_21, whole genome shotgun sequence.